rnacentral:rRNA from 1 species
AACGAACGCUGGCGGCAGGCCUAACACAUGCAAGUCGAGCGCCCAGCAAUGGGAGCGGCAGACGGGUGAGUAACACGUGGGAACCUUCCCUAUAGUACGGAAUAGCCCAGGGAAACUUGGAGUAAUACCGCAUACGCCCGAGAGGGGAAAGAUUUAUCGCUAUAGGAUGGGCCCGCGUAGGAUUAGCUAGUUGGUGAGGUAAUGGCUCACCAAGGCGACGAUCCUUAGCUGGUCUGAGAGGACGACCAGCCACACUGGGACUGAGACACGGCCCAGACUCCUACGGGAGGCAGCAGUGGGGAAUAUUGGACAAUGGGCGCAAGCCUGAUCCAGCCAUGCCGCGUGAGUGAUGAAGGCCUUAGGGUUGUAAAGCUCUUUUGCCGGGGACGAUAAUGGCGGUACCCGGAGAAUAAGUCCCGGCUAACUUCGUGCCAGCAGCCGCGGUAAU